AUUGAACGCUGGCGGCAGGCCUAACACAUGCAAGUCGGACGGUAGCACAGAGGAGCUUGCUCUUCGGGUGACGAGUGGCGGACGGGUGAGUAAUGUCUGGGGAUCUGCCCGAUAGAGGGGGAUAACCACUGGAAACGGUGACUAAUACCGCAUAACGUCGCAAGACCGAAGAGGGGGACCUUCGGGCCUCUCACUAUCGGAUGAACCCAGAUGGGAUUAGCUAGUAGGCGGGGUAACGGCCCACCUAGGCGACGAUCCCUAGCUGGUCUGAGAGGAUGACCAGCCACACUGGAACUGAGACACGGUCCAGACUCCUACGGGAGGCAGCAGUGGGGAAUAUUGCACAAUGGGCGCAAGCCUGAUGCAGCCAUGCCGCGUGUAUGAAGAAGGCCUUCGGGUUGUAAAGUACUUUCAGCGGGGAGGAAGGCGAUGUGGUUAAUAACCGCGUCGAUUGACGUUACCCGCAGAAGAAGCACCGGCUAACUCCGUGCCAGCAGCCGCCGUAA
rnacentral:rRNA from 1 species